rnacentral:rRNA from 1 species
UUAAGCGACUAAGCGUACACGGUGGAUGCCCUGGCAGUCAGAGGCGAUGAAGGACGUGCUAAUCUGCGAUAAGCGUCGGUAAGGUGAUAUGAACCGUUAUAACCGGCGAUUUCCGAAUGGGGAAACCCAGUGUGUUUCGACACACUAUCAUUAACUGAAUCCAUAGGUUAAUGAGGCGAACCGGGGGAACUGAAACAUCUAAGUACCCCGAGGAAAAGAAAUCAACCGAGAUUCCCCCAGUAGCGGCGAGCGAACGGGGAGGAGCCCAGAGCCUGAAUCAGUGUGUGUGUUAGUGGAAGCGUCUGGAAAGGCGCGCGAUACAGGGUGACAGCCCCGUACACAAAAAUGCACAUGCUGUGAGCUCGAUGAGUAGGGCGGGACACGUGGUAUCCUGUCUGAAUAUGGGGGGACCAUCCUCCAAGGCUAAAUACUCCUGACUGACCGAUAGUGAACCAGUACCGUGAGGGAAAGGCGAAAAGAACCCCGGCGAGGGGAGUGAAAAAGAACCUGAAACCGUGUACGUACAAGCAGUGGGAGCCUCUUUUAUGGGGUGACUGCGUACCUUUUGUAUAAUGGGUCAGCGACUUAUAUUCUGUAGCAAGGUUAACCGAAUAGGGGAGCCGAAGGGAAACCGAGUCUUAACUGGGCGUUAAGUUGCAGGGUAUAGACCCGAAACCCGGUGAUCUAGCCAUGGGCAGGUUGAAGGUUGGGUAACACUAACUGGAGGACCGAACCGACUAAUGUUGAAAAAUUAGCGGAUGACUUGUGGCUGGGGGUGAAAGGCCAAUCAAACCGGGAGAUAGCUGGUUCUCCCCGAAAGCUAUUUAGGUAGCGCCUCGUGAAUUCAUCUCCGGGGGUAGAGCACUGUUUCGGCAAGGGGGUCAUCCCGACUUACCAACCCGAUGCAAACUGCGAAUACCGGAGAAUGUUAUCACGGGAGACACACGGCGGGUGCUAACGUCCGUCGUGAAGAGGGAAACAACCCAGACCGCCAGCUAAGGUCCCAAAGUCAUGGUUAAGUGGGAAACGAUGUGGGAAGGCCCAGACAGCCAGGAUGUUGGCUUAGAAGCAGCCAUCAUUUAAAGAAAGCGUAAUAGCUCACUGGUCGAGUCGGCCUGCGCGGAAGAUGUAACGGGGCUAAACCAUGCACCGAAGCUGCGGCAGCGACGCUUAUGCGUUGUUGGGUAGGGGAGCGUUCUGUAAGCCUGUGAAGGUGUGCUGUGAGGCAUGCUGGAGGUAUCAGAAGUGCGAAUGCUGACAUAAGUAACGAUAAAGCGGGUGAAAAGCCCGCUCGCCGGAAGACCAAGGGUUCCUGUCCAACGUUAAUCGGGGCAGGGUGAGUCGACCCCUAAGGCGAGGCCGAAAGGCGUAGUCGAUGGGAAACAGGUUAAUAUUCCUGUACUUGGUGUUACUGCGAAGGGGGGACGGAGAAGGCUAUGUUGGCCGGGCGACGGUUGUCCCGGUUUAAGCGUGUAGGCUGGUUUUCCAGGCAAAUCCGGAAAAUCAAGGCUGAGGCGUGAUGACGAGGCACUACGGUGCUGAAGCAACAAAUGCCCUGCUUCCAGGAAAAGCCUCUAAGCAUCAGGUAACAUCAAAUCGUACCCCAAACCGACACAGGUGGUCAGGUAGAGAAUACCAAGGCGCUUGAGAGAACUCGGGUGAAGGAACUAGGCAAAAUGGUGCCGUAACUUCGGGAGAAGGCACGCUGAUAUGUAGGUGAAGCGACUUGCUCGUGGAGCUGAAAUCAGUCGAAGAUACCAGCUGGCUGCAACUGUUUAUUAAAAACACAGCACUGUGCAAACACGAAAGUGGACGUAUACGGUGUGACGCCUGCCCGGUGCCGGAAGGUUAAUUGAUGGGGUCAGCGCAAGCGAAGCUCUUGAUCGAAGCCCCGGUAAACGGCGGCCGUAACUAUAACGGUCCUAAGGUAGCGAAAUUCCUUGUCGGGUAAGUUCCGACCUGCACGAAUGGCGUAAUGAUGGCCAGGCUGUCUCCACCCGAGACUCAGUGAAAUUGAACUCGCUGUGAAGAUGCAGUGUACCCGCGGCAAGACGGAAAGACCCCGUGAACCUUUACUAUAGCUUGACACUGAACAUUGAGCCUUGAUGUGUAGGAUAGGUGGGAGGCUUAGAAGUGUGGACGCCAGUCUGCAUGGAGCCGACCUUGAAAUACCACCCUUUAAUGUUUGAUGUUCUAACGUUGACCCGUAAUCCGGGUUGCGGACAGUGUCUGGUGGGUAGUUUGACUGGGGCGGUCUCCUCCUAAAGAGUAACGGAGGAGCACGAAGGUUGGCUAAUCCUGGUCGGACAUCAGGAGGUUAGUGCAAUGGCAUAAGCCAGCUUGACUGCGAGCGUGACGGCGCGAGCAGGUGCGAAAGCAGGUCAUAGUGAUCCGGUGGUUCUGAAUGGAAGGGCCAUCGCUCAACGGAUAAAAGGUACUCCGGGGAUAACAGGCUGAUACCGCCCAAGAGUUCAUAUCGACGGCGGUGUUUGGCACCUCGAUGUCGGCUCAUCACAUCCUGGGGCUGAAGUAGGUCCCAAGGGUAUGGCUGUUCGCCAUUUAAAGUGGUACGCGAGCUGGGUUUAGAACGUCGUGAGACAGUUCGGUCCCUAUCUGCCGUGGGCGCUGGAGAACUGAGGGGGGCUGCUCCUAGUACGAGAGGACCGGAGUGGACGCAUCACUGGUGUUCGGGUUGUCAUGCCAAUGGCACUGCCCGGUAGCUAAAUGCGGAAGAGAUAAGUGCUGAAAGCAUCUAAGCACGAAACUUGCCCCGAGAUGAGUUCUCCCUGACCCUUUAAGGGUCCUGAAGGAACGUUGAAGACGACGACGUUGAUAGGCCGGGUGUGUAAGCGCAGCGAUGCGUUGAGCUAACCGGUACUAAUGAACCGUGAGGCUUAACCUU